rnacentral:misc_RNA from 1 species
GAUGAAGAACGUAGCGAAAUGCGAUAAGUAGUGUGAAUUGCAGAAUUCAGUGAAUCAUCGAAUCUUUGAACGCACAUUGCGCCCUUUGGUAUUCCUUAGGGCAUGCCUGUUCGAGCGUCAUUUAAACCUUCAAGCUCAGCUUGGUGUUGGGUGACUGUCCACUUCACCGCGGACUCGCCUCAAAAUUAUUGGCGGCCGGUACAUUGGCUUCGAGCGCAGCAGAAACGCGAACUCGGGCCCGUCGUAUUGGCUCCCAGAAGCUAUCUUCACAAUUUUGACCUCGGAUCAGGUAGGGAUACCCGCUGAACUUAAGCAUAUCAAUAAGCGGAGGA